AACGUAGGUACCGAGCGUUAUCCGGAUUUACUGGGCGUAAAGCGUGUUCAGGCGGCCCGGCAAGUCGGGCAUGAAAUCUCUCGGCUCAACCGGGAGAGGCUGUCCGAUACUGCUGGGCUUGAGGACGGUAGAGGGUGGUGGAAUUCCGCGUGUAGUGGUGAAAUGCGUAGAUAUGCGGAGGAACACCAGUGGCGAAGGCGGCCACCUGGACCGUCCCUGACGCUCAAACACGAAAGCUAGGGUAGCGAACGGG
rnacentral:rRNA from 1 species